rnacentral:rRNA from 1 species
GAUCAUGGCUCAGGAUGAACGCUAGCGACAGGCUUAACACAUGCAAGUCGAGGGGCAGCAUAAAAGUAGCAAUACUUGGUGGCGACCGGCGCACGGGUGAGUAACGCGUAUGCAACCUACCUAUCAGAGGGGAAUAACCCGGCGAAAGUCGGACUAAUACCGCAUAAAACAGGGGCACCGCAUGGUGAUAUUUGUUAAAGAAAUUCGCUGAUAGAUGGGCAUGCGUUCCAUUAGGUAGUUGGUGAGGUAACGGCUCACCAAGCCGACGAUGGAUAGGGGAACUGAGAGGUUGGUCCCCCGCACUGGUACUGAGACACGGACCAGACUCCUACGGGAGGCAGCAGUGAGGAAUAUUGGUCAAUGGGCGGGAGCCUGAACCAGCCAAGUCGCGUGAAAGGAAGAAGGAUCUAUGGUUCGUAAACUUCUUUUGCAGGGGAAUAAAGUGCAGGACGUGUCCUGUUUUGUAUGUACCCUGAGAAUAAGGAUCGGCUAACUCCGUGCCAGCCGCAGC